rnacentral:rRNA from 1 species
GAUGAACGCUGGCGGCGUGCCUAAUACAUGCAAGUCGAGCGAACAGAUGAGGAGCUUGCUCCUCUGACGUUAGCGGCGGACGGGUGAGUAACACGUGGAUAACCUACCUAUAAGACUGGGAUAACUUCGGGAAACCGGAGCUAAUACCGGAUAAUAUAUUGAACCGCAUGGUUCAAUAGAGAAAGACGGUUUUGCUGUCACUUCUAGAUGGAUCCGGGCCGGAUUAGCUAGUUGGUAAGGUAACGGCUUACCAAGGCAACGAUGCGUAGCCGACCUGAGAGGGGGAUCGGCCACCCUAGAAGGUGAACGGCGUCCAGGCGCCUAAGGGAGGCAGCAGUCGGGAAUGUUACGCAGUAGGGGGAAGCCUGGCGGAGCAACGGCGAGUGAGUGAUGAAGGUGCUCGGAUCGUAAUAACCUGUUAUUAGGGAAGAACAAAUGUGUAAGUAACUAUGCACGUCUUGACGGUACCUAAUCAGAAAGCCACGGCUAACUACGUG